CCAAAAGGUAUAAAAAUUAGAUGCCGACUUCUUUGACAGAGCUGGUCUGAGCAACUGAAGUAAACUCAACCGAUUUUGAUUUACAGUUUGCAAGAAUAAGGUGCCAGGCAGUAUUUUUCUGUGAAUCCUGGCUUAUCUCUCACAGAACGUAUGGCUUAUGAUUUGAAUGCUAACGAAGUUAGACAGGAAGCAAGGACAAGGGGACACAGUGUUGGGCAGGGGUUGAGUCAGAUGAUGGAGGUGGUGGGAGCAAAGCUGGUGUCGGAAGGGUGGUGGUGGGGCAUGAGGGUCUGCUUGGGGUGAGAGGCGCAGUGGGAUAAGAGCGUGGGGAGUUCAUGCCCCUGAAAGGCCCUUUUCGCACUGCAUAAACAAAGAGAUUACAGUGAGAAGGGGCUCAGUGCCGCUAACAAGCAGUGCUGCCACACACACUCGUUUAAACUCGUGCACACACAGUCACAUCCUCAUAGGAAUCAUACACGCAUGCACGCACACACACACGCACACGCACACGCACACACACACACACACACACGACUAUAAACACACAAACAAGGACAAGCUCAUGCAAACUAAUGUGCACUCACAAACACAGCAUCAACUCAAUAAACCUACGCACACAAAUAACAAGAAGCAUCACAACAUAGUGGCGCCACCUGUCUCCUCUUCACCAAUUAAUGAGCUCCCAGCUCCCGGGAUGCUACAACGGGGUGGCAAUUAGCAGCAAAAAAAAAAAAAAAAAAAGGAAGAAGGAGAAGAAGAAGAAGGGGGGAGUCAUAAAUGAGGGAGACAAACAGACGAUGGGGAAAGGGGUUGAGAGGGUAAGGGAGGAAGGGGCUGAAUCAGCUAGAAACAGUCAAAGUAAAGAAAAGGGACAGAGUGAGAAACACAGAGGACAGGUGAUGUGUCCAUGUAACUACUCGCAUUCAUGAUAGUUUAUUUUAAACCCACAUUUUUAAACUGUCUGUUUUUUUCAGUCUUAGGUGACAAGGCAGGAUUACAGACUUUUAACAUGUUGAACUCACGGUUGUCCAUUCUAUAUUGCUGUCGCUUAUUUCAGAUAUUUCUCUGAUUUAUGCUAUGCACUGUCAAUAUAAUACACUUUAAAAUAAUGUAGAAAAACUGCAUUUAACUUGACAACAUCCAGGGAACUGAAAAAGAUGGAAACAUUUGGAAAAACUCAGCUCAUUGAUGCUGCUCACCUGCAUGUUUCCAUCUCUUACUUGCGUUUCCUUUUUUUUUGCCUCAUUCCUUCUGUCAUUCAGUCACGCUUUGUUUCCCAUUACUCUCUCUUAAAUGCAUGCACACAUACACAUUCUUUGUUCGCUACUGCCUGAUAACAGGCAGUCAUUCAUACCAACUCAUGAC
ensembl:lncRNA